UCUGCCGGGAGGUAUUUAAAAUCGGCCCCGUUUUUCUUUUCAGGCUUUUUAGCGCGUUUUAGCGCAUUUCAGGAGCGGUGCUAAAACGGGCGCCUGCUUCCUACUCCAUGGUGCCACCGGAAGUCAGAAUUAUUUUAGAAGUGCAGUAAACCUUCGUUAUUACGGACCAUUUUAUGAUGAAUUUUGGUUAUUGCGGAAGGACCUUCACUGCCAGGUCAGGCUACUGACGCCAUCCCCAGCCCGCAAUGCCUCCCUGGCCGCCGGCCCACAAAGCUUCCUCAGCCGCGCAUGCGUCGCCAUCGCCGCCGCCACUGACUACCUGUACUCCGGCCGCCCACGAGCCGCAAUCAAUGACUCCACCGAUCCUCGUCUCUCCCCCAGCUGUCAACUUACCGGGGCUGUCAAUUCACAUGGAUUCCAGGCCCAGUUCCAGAACUAGAGUCUGAAGAAGGGUCUCACCCCAAAAUGUCACCUAUCCAUGAUACUCCAACAUUUUAUGUCCUUUUGUGUAUUACCCAACAUCUGCAAUUUAUUUGUUUCUACUACUUAGAAUUGUCUAUUAUACAAUGAUAGUUCCUUACUCAGUUACAGUGGACAAUUGGCAACAACGGACAUCAUUCGCUCCUCUAUGGUCCAUUAUAACAAGGGUUUAAUGUGCAUGAUGUUCUCAUUUACAGUAUGAUUUGCCUAGAUAAUAACAAAACAAAGCUUUCCACUGUAUCUCGGUGUAUGUGAUAGUGACAUACCGAUACCAAAAUGUAGCUAUCCUGGACAAAUAAAAUCUAAUGGUU